UGAGCAAAGUUCACCCUCCCGAGCUGAAAAAUGAAAUUGAAUGGUGGCAGACAUGUCCAAGGAAUAUUGCGAGGGUUUGAUCCCUUCAUGAAUCUUGUGAUAGAUGAAUGUGUGGAGAUAGCAACUAGUGGGCAACACAACAACAUUGGAAUGGUGGUAAUACGAGGAAAUAGUGUCAUGGUGUUGGAGGCCUUGGAACGAGUUUAAAUAAUGACUGCUCGGCAGAAAAAUUCAUGCCCCUCCUCCAAGUGCUACUUUCACUGACUGAAGAUUGGGUCAUACACAUUUUCAUAUAUUAAAAUUUUGUUAAAUGAACUUUUGUAAUAGU